GGCAAAUCUCCAAAAUAGCACAUUUCUAAGUUUAUAUCACAAAAAUAGCACUCCAAAACUAAAAUGACCAAAAUAGCACCUUUCUAAGUUUAUACUUUGAAAAAUUUUAAUUUUUUUAUUUUUCAAAAUUUGAAAUCUUAUCCCCAAAACCUCAUUUCUCAACUCUAAACCCUAAACCUUAAACUCUAAACCCUAAACCCUAAACCCUAAACUCUAAACCCUAAACCCUAAACCCUAAACCCUAAACUCUAAACCUUAAACUCUAAACCCUAAACCCUAAACCCUAAACCCACCCUUUAACUCUAAACUCUAAACCCUAAACCCUAAACCCUAAACCCCACCCUUUAACUCUAAACCCUAAGUCUGUGACUUUUGAUAAAACAUUAAAUGCUAUUUUUGUGACUUUUAACCUUGAGUACUAGUUUGGGAACAAAAACUUGAUUUAUUGCUAUUUUUGUCUUUUUCUCUUUAAAAAACUACAUGUCAUUAACCAAUAAUACGAAC
rnacentral:lncRNA from 1 species